CCAGGACGGAGACAAUCAGAAAUACGUGUGUGUGUGUGUGUGAGGGACGUGUUCACGGUUAAUCUGCAGCAGCAGCAGCAGCAGCAGCAGCAGCAGAGGGAGAGACGGAGAGAAACUGAGGGAUUCAAAGCAUCAGGAGACUUCCUGCAGGCCUCGGGAUAACAGCGGUAUUUAGUCUCAUGUAAACCAGCGAGCCUGACACACAGACCUGCAGACGCUCUGAUACAUGCACACCCGAGCUCCAGCUGAUUACAGGCCGAGCUCUUCAGAGGCUAAACACCUGGUUUGAGGUGAACUUCAAGAGACGCUGCGGCUCUGCAGCAAAUCCACCUGCUGUCUCAAGACUUAAACACAGAGCAGAUGAUGGCGCAGCGCCUUCGGGCUGCUUGUACAAGCAUCUUGUCUUCUGACUGGUCGUUCAUGAAUAUUUAAAAUGGAGCAAAAGCAGGAAAACAACCUCCUCUAAAUGUUCAUAUCCUCAAAGAAAGUCAGGAUGAAUCAUCGUUAAGAGCAUCUCGAGGAAGAUGUGACAAAUUCUCCAACACGUGGUGCCAACCAAUGACCUCUGUGGUCCGUUAAGGUCAUUCUAGAGAAAAUCACACUCUAGACACCUUUCAUGACUUUUGCAUUCAUUACAGAAAGUCAUACUACAGUAUCAGUGCUGGAAUAACCAGGAUUUGUCAAUCAAACCUAUAAAAACAAGUAACUUUCACCUACAUGUACAGUAAAGAAACUUGUUUUAACAUCCUUCUGUGCACAACAUGACAGCGUGUUGCCGUCUAGACAUGAGAGCAGA